CGGGACGUGGCGCAGCCUGGUAGCGCGCUCGCUUUGGGAGCGAGAAGUCGCCGGUUCGAAUCCGGCCGUCCCGA
rnacentral:tRNA from 2 species